rnacentral:rRNA from 1 species
CGGGAAAAGCUCAAAUUUAAAAUCUGGCAGUCUUUGGCUGUCCGAGUUGUAAUCUAGAGAAGCAUUAUCCGCGCUGGACCGUGUACAAGUCUCCUGGAAUGGAGCGUCAUAGAGGGUGAGAAUCCCGUAUGUGACCGG